CCUACGGGGGGCUGCAGUAACGAAUCUUCCGCAAUGCACGCAAGUGUGACGGAGCGACGCCGCGUGCGGGACGAAGCCCUUCGGGGUGUAAACCGCUGUCAGGGGAAAGAAAGUUCUGAUCUACCCCAGAGGAAGGGACGGCUAACUCUGUGCCAGCAGCCGCGGUAAGACAGAGGUCCCGAGCGUUAGGCGGAAUCACUGGGCUUAAAGCGUGUGUAGGCGGACCUGUAAGUACCUUGUGAAAUCCCACGGCUCACCCGUGGAACUGCUCGGUAUACUGCGGGUCUUGAGCCACCUAGGGGCGAGCGGAACAAGUGGUGGAGCGGUGAAAUGCGUAGAUAUCACUUGGAACGCCAAUGGUGAAAACAGCUCGCUGGGGGUGUGCUGACGCUGAGACACGAAAGCCAGGGGAGCAAACGGGAUUAGAUACCCUGGUAGUC
rnacentral:rRNA from 1 species